rnacentral:tRNA from 1 species
CGGGCUGUGGCGCAGUUUGGUAGCGCGCCUGCAUGGGGUGCAGGAGGCCGCUGGUUCGAAUCCAGUCAGCCCGA